CAGUAGUGGACAGCAGUAACAAGGGAAGUGGAGCCCUUCCAAGGCAGAUAUAUAGAAUGUUUAGAAUAUAGGAGUAUCCCUGGCCAGUGAAAAUUAAUUAUUGUUCUUUCCUUCCCCUUGAAACUUUUAAUAGUAAAAUAUAUUAAAGAUUGGGUUUUAAAGGUAGUAAACGUUAAUUGACUUGAGUGCCAAUUCUGUUUUAAAUUAAAAUUGCAUCACAUUCAAUUGAACCAGUUGGACAGUGUGGGGCCUGGUGGGAGGUGGUAUUAUUAUAAUCUCGUGUUAACUACGCUGAGGUACAAGUCGUGAGGGUUCUCUUUUGGGGUGGAGUGUGUUUUCUUUAAGUUAAUUUUGAAUUUGUUUGAUUUUGAGUUUGUUGUGUUAUCUAUUUUAUUUAUAUUAUUAUUUUUUAAGUAUUUGGUUAUAAUUGAGCCCUUAAACUCUUGUAAACUCUCGUUUAUUUUCUUUUGGGGUAUUAUACUACUAGCUUUCCCACGUUCACGCUACCAGGCAAUUAAUUCCUUUAUUAACACUGCCAAUUGUGGAUUUUGGGUCAAUUCAUGUGAGCAAACGAGUGGUUGUUUUUUUUUUAUUUUAUUUUAGACUUUCUAAUAAAGACACAUUGUGAAACGUCA